AUUGAACGCUGGCGGCAUGCUUUACACAUGCAAGUCGGACGAGUGGCGAACGGGUGAGUAACGCAUCGGAACGUACCGAGUAAUGGGGGAUAACUGUCCGAAAGGACAGCUAAUACCGCAUAUUCUUCGAGCGGCCGAUGUCUGAUUAGCUGGUUGGCGGGGUAAAUGCCCACCAAGGCGACGAUCAGUAGCGGGUCUGAGAGGAUGAUCCGCCACACUGGGACUGAGACACGGGCCAGACUCCUACGGGAGGCAGCAGUGGGGAAUAUUGCGAAAUGGGGGCAACCCCGACGCAGCCAGGCCGCGUGGGUGAAGAAGGUCUUCGGAUUGUAAAGCUCUGUUAAUCGGGACGCGGUACCGGAAUAGAAAGCCACGGCUAACUACGUGCCAGCAGCCGCGGUAAUAC
rnacentral:rRNA from 1 species